GAUGAACGCUGGCGGCGUGCCUAAUACAUGCAAGUCGAGCGAACAGACGAGAGUGCUUGCACUCUCUGACGUUAGCGGCGGACGGGUGAGUAACACGUGGGUAACCUACCUAUAAGACUGGGAUAACUUCGGGAAACCGGAGCUAAUACCGGAUAAUAUUUAGCUUCGCAUGAAGCAAUAGUGAAAGACGGUUCUGCUGUCACUUAUAGAUGGACCCGCGGUGUAUUAGCUAGUUGGUGAGGUAACGGCUCACCAAGGCAACGAUCCAUAGCCGACCUGAGAGGGUGAUCGGCCACACUGGGACUGAGACACGGCCCAGACUCCUACGGGAGGCAGCAGUAGGGAAUCUUCCGCAAUGGACGAAAGUCUGACGGAGCAAUGCCGCGUGAGUGAAGAAGGUUUUCGGAUCGUAAAACUCUGUUGUAAGGGAAGAACAAGUACGUUAGUAACUGAACGUACCUUGACGGUACCUUACCAGAAAGCCACGGCUAACUACGUG
rnacentral:rRNA from 1 species